UGGGGAAUUUUGGACAAUGGGCGAAAGCCUGAUCCAGCAAUGCCGCGUGUGUGAAGAAGGCCUUCGGGUUGUAAAGCACUUUUGUCCGGAAAGAAAUCCUUGGCUCUAAUACAGUCGGGGGAUGACGGUACCGGAAGAAUAAGCACCGGCUAACUACGUGCCAGCAGCCGCGGUAAUACGUAGGGUGCAAGCGUUAAUCGGAAUUACUGGGCGUAAAGCGUGCGCAGGCGGUUUGCUAAGACCGAUGUGAAAUCCCCGGGCUCAACCUGGGAACUGCAUUGGUGACUGGCAGGCUAGAGUAUGGCAGAGGGGGGUAGAAUUCCACGUGUAGCAGUGAAAUGCGUAGAGAUGUGGAGGAAUACCGAUGGCGAAGGCAGCCCCCUGGGCCAAUACUGACGCUCAUGCACGAAAGCGUGGGGAGCAAACAGGAUUAGAUACCCUGGUAGUCCACGCCCUAAACGAUGUCAACUAGUUGUUGGGGAUUCAUUUCCUAGUAACGUAGCUAACGCGUGAAGUUGACCGCCUGGGGAGUACGGUCGCAAGAUUAAAACUCAAUGAAUUGACGGGGUCAUAGCUG
rnacentral:rRNA from 1 species